AUCCUUUUGUAGUUCAUAAGUUGAGUGUGAUGACUGGAUGUUCACGCUCUUGUGUAAGAUGUGCCUCCCUCAAACCUUGUUACGACUUCGGCACAUUAUCCGUCUGAAA
ensembl:snoRNA